rnacentral:rRNA from 1 species
AACGAACGCUGGCGGCAGGCUUAACACAUGCAAGUCGAACGCCCCGCAAGGGGAGUGGCAGACGGGUGAGUAACGCGUGGGAACAUACCCUUUCCUGCGGAAUAGCUCCGGGAAACUGGAAUUAAUACCGCAUACGCCCUACGGGGGAAAGAUUUAUCGGGGAAGGAUUGGCCCGCGUUGGAUUAGCUAGUUGGUGGGGUAAAGGCCUACCAAGGCGACGAUCCAUAGCUGGUCUGAGAGGAUGAUCAGCCACAUUGGGACUGAGACACGGCCCAAACUCCUACGGGAGGCAGCAGUGGGGAAUAUUGGACAAUGGGCGCAAGCCUGAUCCAGCCAUGCCGCGUGAGUGAUGAAGGCCUUAGGGUUGUAAAGCUCUUUCACCGAUGAAGAUAAUGACGGUAGUCGGAGAAGAAGCCCCGGCUAACUUCGUGCCAGCAGCCGCGGUAAUAC